rnacentral:rRNA from 1 species
CUAAAGSUCUGUGGUGRAAGCCCGRAGCUUAACUUCKGUAAGCGAUGGAAACCSUAGAGCUAGAGUGUGUGAGAGGAUCGUGGAAUUCSAUSUGUAGCGGUGAAAUGCGKAGAUAUAUGGAGGAACACCAGUGGCGAAGGCGACGAUCUGGCGCACAACUGACGCUCAGUCCCGAAAGCGUGGGGAGCAAAUAGGAUUAGAUACCCUAGUAGUCSACGCCGUAAACGAUGAGUACUAAGUGUUGGGAGUSAAAUCUCAGUGCUGCAGUUAACGCAUUAAGUACUCCGCCUGAGUAGUACGUUCGCAAGAAUGAAACUCAAAGGAAUUGACGGGGGCCCGMCACAAGCGGUGGAGCAUGUGGUUUAAUUCGAAGCAACGCGAAGAACUUACCAGGUCUUGACAUCGAUCUAAAGGGGAUAGAGAUAUCCAGAUAGCUAUAGAGAAGACAGGUGGUGCAUGGUUGUCGUCAGCUCGUGUCGUGAGAUGUUGGGUUAAGUCCCGCAACGAGCGCAACCCUYGUCGCUAGUUACCAUCAUUAAGUUGGGGACUCUAGCGAGACAGCCGGUGACAAGCCGGAGGAAGGCGGGGAUGACGUCAAAUCAUCAUGCCCCUUAUGACCUGGGCUACACACGUGCUACAAUSGACAGAGCAGAGGGAAGCGAAGCCGCGAGGUGGAGCGAAACCCAUAAAACUGUUCUCAGUUCGGACUGCAGUCUSCAACUCGACUGCACGAASUUSGAAUCGCUAGUAAUCGCGAAUCAGCAUGUCGCGGUGAAUACGUUCUCGGGCCUUGUACACACCGYSYGUSAYANSAUGAGAGUSGGUAA